rnacentral:piRNA from 1 species
UGGUGUUCAACUUGGGGACUGCAAAUGC